rnacentral:lncRNA from 1 species
ACAUUGGAGCAAACAGAAUGAACACCAGCAUAUCAAAUCAACACUGGCUCAAUAAAUUCCAAGAAAAAUCAUGCCUAAACAGAACACAUCAAAGGAUCAACACACCAAAAAUCAUGGCAUUUGGCUAAGUAUAAGCAAGUCAAUUAAAAUCAUCAAGUCAAGGUAUGCACAAACAAGUCCAAAGGAAGCACAAAUUGAUGCAUCAACUUCACACAAGCACAAAAUAGAAUCUACACAUGAUAAAUGAAUCAAACCA